rnacentral:rRNA from 1 species
CCUACGGGAGACAGCAGUGGGGAAUAUUGGGCAAUGGGCGCAAGCCUGACCCAGCAAUGCCGCGUGAAGGAAGAAGGCUUUCGGGUUGGAAACUUCUUUGACAGGGGAAGAGCAGAAGACGGUACCCUGCAAACAAGCCACGGCUAACUACGUGCCAGCAGCCGCGGUAAUACGUAGGUGGCAAGCGUUAUCCGGAUUUAGUGGGUGUAAAGGGGGCGCAGACGGCAGCGCAAGCCAGGAGUGAAAGCCCGGGGCCCAACCCCGGGACUGCUCGUGGAACUGCGCGGCUGGAGUGCAGGAGGGGCAGGCGGAAUGCCUGGUGUAGCGGUGAAAUGCGUAGAUAUCAGGAGGAACACCGAUGGCGAAGGCGGCCUGCUGGACUGCGACUGACGUUGAGGCCCGAAAGCGUGGGGAGCAAACAGGAUUAGAUACCCUUGUAGUC